GUCGUCGUGGCCGUCGUUGUCGAAGUCGCCCGUGGCGGCCACGGGGGCCUCGUCGGGGAGGACGGUGUACGCCUC
rnacentral:tRNA from 1 species